rnacentral:lncRNA from 1 species
AUUUAUUUUCCUCAUCCUCCCGUCCCAUGUGCUUCUCCUCGGGAUGAGAAGGCUCGGCAAUAUCCGUGUCAGCUCCAGCUGGGUGCCAAAGCCACGAGCCCAGGGUGGUUCCCAUGCCAGCCCUAACGGGGCUGUAGGAGAAGCAGAGAUGUCUGAGCCAGCCUCUAAAUGCUGAAAAUUCCCUUGGGAUUUAUCCAGCUCAGAACAACAUCCCUGACCUCAUCCUCCUCCCCCGGUAUGUGCCGGGAUGCUGCCGGUGCUCGAGCCGCCCGUCGGGAAUCCCACCCGGCCUUCCCUGGGUACCAAGACAAACACAGCUGCGGGAAUGACGGAGAAAAGGCUAUUUUGGGUAAACCCUCUGCUCCUUUUUGUCGAGCUCAUGCCUUAGGCCGGUGUGGAGGGAGCUGCCGCUGUGCCCUGGGGCGCUGAAGUGUCACCUGUCCCCCAUCCCGACAGAGAAGAGACAGGUGAGAGGGUGCCCGGUGUCACUGGGGUGUGGGGGGAGCUUCCCUUUGGGUUUUCAGUCCAAUUCAGUACAAAAAAAAAACAAAGAGAGAG